rnacentral:rRNA from 1 species
UACGUAGGGGGCAAGCGUUGUUCGGAAUUACUGGGCGUAAAGGGCGCGUAGGCGGCACGGCAAGUCGGGAGUGAAAGGCCUGGGCUCAACCGAGGAACUGCUUUCGAGACUGCCGAGCUAGAGUGCGGAAGGGGCAACUGGAAUUCCCAGUGUAGCGGUGAAAUGCGUAGAUCUUGGGAAGAACACCUGUGGCGAAAGCGCUCUACUGGACCGCGACUGACACUGAUGGACGAAAGCUAGGGGAGCGAAUGGG